UGGGGAAUAUUGGACAAUGGGGGCAACCCUGAUGCAGCCAUGCCGCGUGUGUGAAGAAGGCUUUCGGGUUGUAAAGCACUUUCAGUGGGGAGGAAAGGGUGUUGGUUAAUACCUGACAUCUGUGACGUUACCCACAGAAGAAGCACCGGCUAACUCCGUGCCAGCAGCCGCGGUAAUACGGAGGGUGCGAGCGUUAAUCAGAAUUACUGGGCGUAAAGCGCGCGUAGGCGGUGAUCUAAGCUAGAUGUGAAAUCCCCGGGCUUAACCUGGGCACUGCAUUUAGAACUGGAUGACUGGAGUACAGCAGAGGGGUGUGGAAUUUCCGGUGUAGCGGCGAAAUGCGUAGAGAUCGGAAGGAACAUCAGUGGCGAAGGCGACACCCUGGGUUGAUACUGACGCUGAGGUGCGAAAGCGUGGGGAGCAAACAGGAUUAGAUACCCCCGUAGUCC
rnacentral:rRNA from 1 species